rnacentral:rRNA from 3 species
GAUGAACGCUGGCGGUAUGCUUAACACAUGCAAGUCGAACGGUCUCUUCGGAGAUAGUGGCGGACGGGUGAGUAACGCGUGAGAAUCUGGCUCUAGGUCUGGGACAACCACUGGAAACGGUGGCUAAUACCGGGUAUGCCGAAAGGUGAAAGGUUAACUGCCUGGAGAUGAGCUCGCGUCUGAUUAGCUAGUUGGUAGGGUAAAAGCUUACCAAGGCGACGAUCAGUAGCUGGUCUGAGAGGACGAUCAGCCACACUGGGACUGAGACAC